rnacentral:rRNA from 1 species
CCUACGGGAGGCAGCAGUGGGGAAUUUUGGACAAUGGGCGCAAGCCUGAUCCAGCCAUGCCGCGUGCGGGAAGAAGGCCUUCGGGUUGUAAACCGCUUUUGGCAGGAACGAAACGGCGCGAGCGAAUAUCUCGCGUUAAUGACGGUACCUGCAGAAUAAGCACCGGCUAACUACGUGCCAGCAGCCGCGGUAAUACGGAGGGUGCAAGCGUUAUCCGGAUUCACUGGGUUUAAAGGGUGCGUAGGAGGGCAGGUAAGUCAGUGGUGAAAUCUCCAAGCUUAACUUGGAAACUGCCGUUGAUACUAUCUGUCUUGAAUACCGUGGAGGUGAGCGGAAUAUGUCAUGUAGCGGUGAAAUGCUUAGAUAUGACAUAGAACACCAAUUGCGAAGGCAGCUCACUACACGAAUAUUGACUCUGAGGCACGAAAGCGUGGGGAUCAAACAGGAUUAGAUACCCUGGUAGUCCACGCCCUAAACUAUGGAUACUCGACAUACGCGAUAAACUGUGUGUGUCUGAGCGAAAGCAUUAAGUAUCCCACCUGGGAAGUACGACCGCAAGGUUGAAACUCAAAGGAAUUGACGG